UACAGAGACUGCAAGCGUUAUUCGGAUUCACUGGGCGUAAAGGGUGCGCAGGCGGCCGUGUGUGUUGGGCGUGAAAGCCCGGGGCUUAACCCCGGAAUUGCACCCAAAACUAUACGGCUAGAGCAUUGGAGAGGGUAGCAGAAUUCAUGGUGUAGCAGUGAAAUGCGUAGAGAUCGUAAGGAAGACCAGUGGCGAAGGCGGGUCUCGUGGACAGUUCCGUGACACUGAGGCACGAAAGCCAGGGGAGCAAACGGG
rnacentral:rRNA from 1 species